UCAUGUUUCUUAUAAUCAGUUUCUUUCAGGAGUACUACAGGGACUGCAGAUCCCUUCACAAUGCUCCCGCUGCUGACCAAUGAAAAGAAAUGCGAUCUCACAGUCUUCUCAUAGCUCUCCAGUGAAAUAGUUCUCUUGUACUGAAACCAAAAAAGAAUCCAGAGCAUGGCUGAAGAGUAAGAAUUCUGGGCCUGAUCACAAUUUCUGUUAGCCCUAGCCAUGUCUGGAGCUCGUUCUGCCCCCACUCCUGAGAAAAACUAGUGAAUCACAUAUCUUAUCUGCAUGCCACUCUUUACCUGCCUUGUGCUACACAGGCUGAUAUGUACGAAACUCUCAAUUAGCUCUCUUGUCCUCUGAUGUAACAUGGAUUUGGCCAAUGAAAUUUACCUCAACAGGAAUUGCACAAGGAAGCAAGAGAGUAUUCCUAUCUGCCAGGUUGUCGAAGGAGAGUGGAUGUCAGCAAGUCAAGGUUCUCCAAGUUGAAGAGUACUGAGGUCAACAAUGUCCCAAGGACAAGAAUCAGCAGCCUAGAUCUUAAAAAUCGUUUAAACAACUCUCACUUCAAGUUGAAGAACAAAUACCCAGAACACAUAUAGAUGGUGAACAUUAUUCUAUGAAGAAAAAUGAACUAAAAUAAGAGUGACGAUGAUAGUAGAACCAUUUGUGGCAUAAAGCUCAAUGGUGACGGAAUGAAACACAAAUCACUUCCUGUAUUCCACUAUCAAAACCCUUACCAGCAUCUCCAUUCUUCAUCUUUCAUCUGAGCAGCGGGUCCCUAGUAUUAUCUCCACUUGACAGAGGAAGAAAAUCAGCUUUAAGAAAGUUCAACUCCUUCAUUAGGAUAUAAGCUUUUAAAUGAUUAAAUCAGGCUUGAGCUUAUACAAUUUAACCUCUGAGACUGAUUUCUUUCUGUUUCAUUUUAAAGUUGCAUCCCAGUAUACUGCCAACAUGUGCUAAUAAAAACUGAAACAAUUAAAAGAAUAAAAUAUAAAAUUUCAUCCUAAUAAAUGUGUAACGUGAAAUAAGAUAUGUAAAUAUGUAAUGUGGGCAAAUAAGAUAUGUACAUAUGUAAUGUGAAAUAACAAAUAUGUAAUGUGAAAUUUGGUCCCAUUUUUUGAUGUUUUAGAUUGAUCUCCACCUCUUCCCUUGAUACUCCACAUCUAUAAAAGUUUAUUGGUAAACCUUCAUAUUUCUUCUUUUAAUCUCAUUGGGAAAGUCAAACCAUGCAAUGCCCUGAUCUUCUGGAACUCUCAUUCUAGCCCUAAACACUUAACUGUAAAGAAAACCCAAGUCAGUCUCGGAGUCUUCCUGUUUUGGGUCAUUUUUAGACAUUCUUGAUAGUCUUGCCCUGCAUAUUGCAGAGAUGUCCAUGUGACAUAAGGAGUAAGCCCUUCCUACGCUGUUAGUAUAUGUCAGUAUAUGAGUGUGUAACUGUGCAUCUUUGUGUGUGUAUAAUUAUCAAUUUUGAUACCCAGUUUUGGGUGCAUAUCAUCUUUCUCUGCAGGACACCUUAACAAAUGUGGUAUUUACUGUCUUCAACUUUUGAUUCAUUUCCAUAUGCACUAGUUUGAUACCCUCUCUAGUGACUUCAUUCCAUUCAUUCUAUUGAAUUCAGUCAAAUUCUUUCACCAGCAUUAACAAAUAUUGAACACAACAGGUCUUCUUUUCUGAACACUGAAAAUUAUCCCUAGGCAAAUACAGUCACAUUUCCUUCUGAUCUGGGGCUGCUUUGGCAUUCUUUUCAGAAUUAGUUUUUGCAGACAGACUUGAUUAUGUUGAGAAGAGAGAUGAAAUGUUUGUAUCUCCCUAGACUUAAGGAUUUGUUUUAGGAUAAGCAAAGAGCUACCAACAUCUCUCACCUACCCUCUGAGUACAAAAUAUGCCCAACGUACAGUUGUAUUUGGAAAUACUAAAUAAACGGAAGAAGGCUGUGUCACACAAGCCCAUCAAAGAAGCAGGGAAAAUAAAAAAUGUCAGGGGUGUACCUGAGGUGUAAACACAACUUCAGGGGUUUUACUUUUUAGUGUUGAGACCUGUGGUUUCCUAGUGAAAUUUUUUUCUCAUGAUUUGAUUAUAAAAAAUAGACAAUCAAUGAAGCAACAGUCAAACUUAUUUUUCUCAGCCAUAACUGAGUAGCACCCAUUAGGUGGACCCCCACAGGUACACUUACAUUCUUUAAAAAAUAUCAUGACAUUAAACUCUGGGUUUGACACAGUUGGCAGAAUAUCCCUUGGAAAUGUUUUGCCUUUCAGCUGCAAAAGUUGCUCUAACAAAGUGGAUGUUAGAAGAAGCUCUCGGGCACCCCUGCCUAUAUCUCUAGCUCAUUAUCUCCUCAUUACAGGGAACCUGAAGGGGAUGAAGAAAAUGCAUUCAGAAAAAUACGUUCAUGUUUUAUUGAUUGCCAGCAGAGCUCGAGUCUCUGAAUACUCACACUUUGGGAUAUUUUGUUAGGAAAAUAAGCACAGUAAGCCCUGUUUACAUGCUCUCCUCCUUGUGGUACAAUUUAAUCCAGCACAGCACAAAACUGAACAUCUUCUCCAAUUAGGUGCACAUAAGACACUUCCACAUAGGCAUAUAUUGGGACUUCCAGUGACCCAUUGCUUAUUGUCUUAGCUCACUUAUUCAAUCCCCUCUUUUGAUGAAUGAGGAAGCCAAAGUUCAGAGAGUUUAACUGGCUUGUACAUUAUCACACAGUCAUUAUUUAGAUUUCCUAUGUUUGCAUCAUCUUUUCUAAUUAUUCUAACAAAUUUAUUUAUCACAUUUCUGGAGGAAAAAAAUUAAAUAGUAGUUUUCACUUUUCCUCUAUAAAUAUAUCAGGAAGUUCAGAGCCCAUCUGGAUAAGAUAUGCUGUGAUAAUUGAGUUCCUGGCGAAUCCAGAACAUAUUAAGAGUUAACCAAUCGGGGUAGUGAUAAUGCUGGAGGUCUAUCAAGCAACCGAGUAGUGAAUGUAGCUGUGAGAGCUCAUUCUGAAAUAAAGGCACAGCUCUGCGGAAACAUGACAGUUAUCUUGAGGAAAACUGAAUUAAUUGAGUCUUAAGGGAAGAGACUGGUAGAACCAAUGAGAAAAUGGUAAUAAGCAUGGAUUUUGGAAUCAGAAAGGAUGGCUAGUGAAACUUGGGGCAAAAUAUUAAACUUUUUGAGUUUCCAUUAUUGUAUCUAUAAGUUGAAGAUAAUACCAUAUCAGACAUUACUUUAUAAGGUUCUUGGGAAAAUAUAUUAGACUAUGGAGAUGGUGACUUUUUUUUUUUUUUUUCGUUUUUUAUCGGUACCAAGGAUAGAACUCACGACUGUCUGCUUGCAAGGCAGGGGCUUAUGCCACUGAGCUAAAUCCCCAGCCCUUAUGGUGACUUUUUAUUAGAAGGCUGCUGUGUUUGUGUGUAUUGUGAGCACUUAUUGUAUAUAAAUCUACUUUUAUCCCCAUAGUAAACUAUGAAGCGCCAUUAUUUCAGUUGGCAAAGAAAAUAACUGGGACACGAAAAAGGAGCUUUCUUUUGGAAAAUCAAAUUUUUGGAUGUUUUUUAUCUUAAUUUUUGUUGCCACAAUUGUUUUGCUUUUAUUAAGACAGACUCACUCCAGAAUCCUUAAUCUUUAUUACUGUGCACAAUGUGAUAUAUUUUAAGGUCCCUUUAUUGAGACAUAGUGUCUGCUCACAACAUGAUAGCUUUUAUCAUCAUCGUCAUCAUCAUCAUCAUCAUCACCCUCAUCAAUAACUUUAUAUGAAAAAAAUAAUGAUGAUAAAGGAAAGAGAAAAUAAAGAAGUAAUUAAUGAUACUUAAGGAAUGUGUGACUUGCCUGCUCCUUAGAUCAUAUUUCCAAAAUAAAAAUAGGUACGUCCCAUUACUGGUAUAAUAAACAACACAGUAUUGUGUAGCCAGAAAACAGAUACCAAACCCUAAAUUUGAAGUUCAUGAAUGACAAUUCAUAGCAAACACUGAUGUGUCACCAAGUAAGAAGGGUUCUUUUCAUGUCCAGUUGUGCUUAAUUUGUUUUGUGUUCUCACUAGAAAUAUAGUGUUCUCCACUGGAACAAUGGGAUUACAUACUAUUUGAACAAAAAUGUUUUCAAAUACCAUGUUGUUAAUAUAAUACAUGUAUAUGAAAUAGCCUUGCAUACAGUUUACUGAUGCAUUAAAAAUGAAGUUAAUGAUUUCCAAACAGAAGAACCUAUUUGAUUCUUACAUAACAGAGUUUCAUGUGUGAUGAGAAAUGGAAGUAUCAGAAGCAUGUGAGAUUUUCUAUCUACAUGUGUUGACACUAAGAGAGUUGGAAUGUUUGACAGUCGAAAAAUGAUAAGUAGCUUUGAAGUACUGUCCUGUGGAACUCAGCUCACCAAAGGAAUUGAAAACUGACCAAGAUUCCAUCUUGAACUCAAGAGAGUUAAAAUAUAUCACGACUACUAUUGGUAAGUGUAGGGAGUGGCUCAGAAUGGCUGCCACUGUCCUGCCCCUCCCACCUGAGGGCAUUUUGAGUGUCAGCCUACAUUUCCCAUGAUCCUCCCCUUGCCUACAAUGCAAUGGUGUAAGCACCUUCUCGCUUCAGCCUACAUCUCCCACAAUCCCCUCUUGUUGACAUCACUUCCACUUACCUAUGUGUCUACCUAUGACUUCCUGCUAGCCUGAUAGGCCCAUGGCAUAUGAGGAGAUCCAAGCCAGCCCAUCCUGUAAAGCCAUAUCCCCUUUGACUCUAUAUAAGCCAUGUACACUUCCUGAAUAAAUGGGACUUGAUUGGAAUUGGU